GUGUGUGUCAUGCUUGGUCAUAUCGAUUUUCUUGAAAAAAGUUGGCAGGUUCCAGUUACUGAUUUUCGCAUGAGUUGUGUUUUUAUUGGAUAAAAUGUCACAAGCAAGCCGAGUCCACAGGUGAAUUUCUUCAGGCACAUCAGUGCAAAAUAAUAAUAUGACAAUUGAUAGUCUCUCCACUGUUUUCCACACAAGUUGGAAGAGAAAAUAAUGGCAUGUAACUAAACACCUUUACUUUUUGCUGUUUGUAGGGCACCGUGAUACAUGUCCCUGUCAGGUCGUUUGUUUGUUUCGUUAGUCCUCCCAUGUCAUCCUCUUUUGUCAGGUCGUAUAGAUUCAACAACUUGAGGCUCGCCCAUGGUCGAUUGGACCGGAAGAGUCGGUUUCCUUAUUCUCUUCUAUUUGUGUUUGCCUCCAAGUUCUAAUUUUUGUGAGUUUUCAGAUCCAUUCGUUGUAUGGUCAUUGAUGUCGAUUUCUUGUGUUGCAGGGGCUGGUCCAUGAAACAUCAGUGCCCUUUGGUUCUUCCUUCCACUACGGAUGGUUGUGAAUCAGCAGAAAUUCCACACACUCAUGGUCAAUUGAUAUAUAUGAAGCAUGGGUCUUAAUAUUUUAAUCAACUCGGCACCUGAAGCUAUUCCCUUUAUUUCGACGUCUAUCUUGAGCUCAUUUGGAUAUGGUACGUUGUUUUCUUGCUAUCUGAACCUCACAACGGAACAUUAUCUCACUCUUAUGAUGGAUGUCAUAUUUGUCACAUUAAUCUAUGAGAAGUUCAGAAUGUGCCUGCAUAUUGGGGUGGGGGAGAGAUAUACAUAUUGUGUCCGCAUAUGGUAUGUUGUUUUCUUGUAGAAUUAACAUAUGUUUCGAAUUGUUAUUCACAUAAAUUCAUAACUAUGGUCUACAUCCCUCCAAUUAUAUAUGCAUGAAAGUUCUUGUAUAUAUAUGCCAGUUGUAAAGUAAAUACUGAUUUUGUUAUCUGAUAUGUAGUUGCAGCAUAAUAUAGCCUUCAUAUUGUUCCCCUUGGGUGUCUUGACGAGGGCAACCAAUUAAGAAAAACCUACGGUCUGUUACAGACGCUGGUUCGCCAUAUUUCACAAAACCAAAACAUAAUUUCAUUGUUGCCUAUUACGUCGUGAACUUCUAUUCAUGCGUAUGAGUAUAGGCUAUGACUAGCUGGUGUGCACACUUUAUUCCGUCCUUUCCCACCAACCAAGUUUCCAACAAAAAUAUGAAAACCUUAUUAUAACUAACAAUACAAUGUUGCUGCUCAAUUAUUUUUUGAUAUUUUUACAUAAUCAUGGCUUGCUAAGGAUAAAAUAGUUAUGCUGAACCAUUGUGUCAUCAUACGGAUAGUGUAGAUUUAGAGCUAGGUAAUGUAUACUUCCUAGAUGUUGCUUACUUGUUUGUAACUUGCUUACAAACUUCAGUAGUUUAGUUGUUUGUAACUUUGCCACGGCGUCGGUGUCGACCAGCAUGUACGUGCGUGUCUAGGUUGUACGUAGCCAUGGCGGGUGCGCCCUAUGCGUGUGUUCUGGUUCGGUCGGACGCCGGUAUGUGGCUGCGUCUGAGUCGUCGAGAGUUACAGGGUAGCCGUUGUCGAUCUGUUGGAGCUGACCGUGUCAUGCACGUAGUGGCGCGCCUGGCGCGCGGCCAGGCGAGCGGAUCGUGGGCGUGUGGACAGGAGUGGAGUGUGGUGUUCGUGCGUGCGUACUCCCUGUAUAAAUACCCCCCGUGUACUGCUUGGUUUGAGCUGGCUAAAAAGAGAAAAGAUUAGGGUGUUGGUGCGCCCGUGGCGGCGUUCGUCGCUGGCAAAAUUCUGUGAUGUCUCCUCCGGUUCUUCUUCUACCUCCGUUCGCGAGAGAGCGAGAGGGAGCUGGGCACCGGCACAAUUAACAAGCUAGGGCUCGGCGCCAACACAAACUAUCUAUUGUUUGAAAUAUAAAUUUUAAAUCAAUAAGAAAUUAAAUAUUGAUAUUCAUAUAAUUAGUUAGUCAAUGUAUCAAUUAACUAAUGAGCUACCAAAAGGAAGAGGGAGGGUGGGUGUAAAAGGGAUCCGAAGCAUUUCGUUGUGUCGAUAGGCAUGAGAGCUUGAUCCUUCUAUGAACCCCACCCAAAGUGGAUGUACAGCGACACAUAUUCGCCUAUACACUCUCCUCUAGGUUGCCCCAACCAUAUCCUGACGCACUAGCGCCGUGGGCGGUCAGACCUCAGCACGAGCUUUUCUGUCCCCUCUCGGCUUGAUCAUCGACCAUGAGGCCAAAUCGAUGUGGCACGAGAGAGGUAUCAUGGGUGAAAAAGGGGAGUCUGCGGUUGUGAUGGAGGGGGCCAUCAGGGUGCAUCUGAAGGGAAAGGAGCAGCGGGAGCCCCAUAGGGAGGCGGAUCAGCGUCUUGUGGUGUGGAGGUUGCAGAGCUCGGUGACUACGACAUGGCGCGAGGUUGUGGGGUGGUUAUCGUGUGACAUGGGGUUAGGGGAGAUGAGAGUUGGAGAGGCAACGACUAACUGUUAAUCCUGCCAUUGAAGAUCUGAGUUACUUUUGCCUCUCCUAUCAACAUUAUUUUGCCUCUCAGUCUCUCAGCUCCAUUGUCUUCAUAAUAAAUAUAAAUGAAGUUGGUGUUGUUUUGUAUAAACAUUAUCUGCUAAGACAAUUUUGUUAGUUUGUGCAUUAUUUUCAGUUUUCUUUUUAUUCAAUGGUUGGUGCGAACAUAUAUGAAGAUAACACAAACUUACUUGUUGUCUGGGAGCAUGAUGCUAUGUUGUGGUUUUUUGGUUUGCAUUUGAACAGUGACAUGUAUUCAUGUUAGGCAUUUGCGUAGGUAUUGCGUACAGUUGUAACACCAAAUCAUGUCGAUUGAAUGUACUUUUCUUAAUUUUCAAAUAUGGGAUAAAAUCAAUGUGUAUGUUUUUAUGUCCAAUCCACCAGAUUUGUCCACCAAUCAAGUUCCAGACAGGUUGGGGAACUAACUGCGGCAGCGGAGCUGCGGGAGUGGUGCACAUGCGAGAAGGGAAGGAGAAAGAAGGAAUGAGGGACAGAGGUGUCGGAGCUGAGAUAUAGGAGGGAAAUACCAAGGGAGCUGGCAUGGAAAGAAAGCUUAGUUGGGUCCCAAGGCUAGAGUGGAUCGUGUUGUAUUUGUUCCCUAUUAUCAAGGCUCACGUUCAUUAUCGUUUUUAAAGUGCAUGCUUCGGAAGCUCGUUGUCAAGGAAGAUGGCAAACUCAUUGAGGAUGAUCAUUGGGGUCAUUGUUAAGCUCGAUUUCUGGUGGAGUAGUCUCGCCACAAAUUAAGACGGCAAGCCAUGAGUAAUUGAUAAGUUUGUAAAAUCACCUUCUUUUUCAUGCAUAUCCAUGUUACAUAUGAACAUUGGAUGUGACUGAUUACAAUGGAGAAGAUGAUGGUGUUGUGAUUUUUUCGAAAUAAUUUAUUGUUUGAUUUAUUU
rnacentral:lncRNA from 1 species